rnacentral:lncRNA from 1 species
AUAGCCAAUAUAGAGCUAAAACCUCACGGCUAGCCUAAAAGACCCAUAGCUUAAAGCAGAACAUAUUUGUCCCAUGUGGCCACUUCUAUUCGCGAUAUUCAUCAUAGCUCUCCUACCAGCGUAUAUCCAGGCAAAACCAUGUAUAACUGAAGGCUUUCAGUGCGUGCCGCCAAAUACAUGUAAGCAGUUGCGGCGAAGGAACCUUGGUGGAUGUGCUGGCGGCAAGGUGUGCUGCAGCAUUGGAGGAACAUCCAAUUGUGAAGUCAUUGGAGGACAUUGUUUGAGAAGUUGCCCACAGAUUUCACAACAGAACAGGAACUGCAGCUGCAUCGAAGGCCUCAAAUCUUCCUUGAGUUUACAGCAUGGAUAAAGUACACCAGCAUGCGACACUUUCACACCUGUCAACGAAACCGUGCCCACAAACUUCAAGUAAAGGUCACCACAGACAUGUAUCUCACAUACCCUGCAACACUGGAGGAACACACAAUUGUGAACUCACUGGAGGACAUUGUUUGAUAAGUUGCCCACGGACUUCAAAACAGAACAGGAAUUACAGCUGCAUCGAAGGCCUCAAAUGUUGCUUGAGCCCAGCAAAGCACCCCUCAAAACAUCGCUGGCGGAGACUGUACUGAAUGUGCUGCAACAGUCGUGCGAAAUGUGCAGCGAAGACGACAUAAUCUACUGGACAGCACAGGAGAAAGUAUGGGACUUAAGGAUACGCGAAAUUUUAUUCCAAAUUGCUUCAAGUUACGAUAUACGGUCAAGGAAUAAUAAAUAGAAUGAGCUU